rnacentral:rRNA from 1 species
GUGGGGAAUAUUGGACAAUGGGCGAAAGCCUGAUCCAGCCAUGCCGCGUGUGUGAAGAAGGUCUUCGGAUUGUAAAGCACUUUAAGUUGGGAGGAAGGGCAUUAACCUAAUACGUUAGUGUUUUGACGUUACCAACAGAAUAAGCACCGGCUAACUUCGUGCCAGCAGCCGCGGUAAUACGAAGGGUGCAAGCGUUAAUCGGAAUUACUGGGCGUAAAGCGCGCGUAGGUGGUUCAGCAAGUUGGAGGUGAAAUCCCCGGGCUCAACCUGGGAACUGCCUCCAAAACUACUGAGCUAGAGUACGGUAGAGGGUAGUGGAAUUUCCUGUGUAGCGGUGAAAUGCGUAGAUAUAGGAAGGAACACCAGUGGCGAAGGCGACUACCUGGACUGAUACUGACACUGAGGUGCGAAAGCGUGGGGAGCAAACAGGAUUAGAAACCCGGGUAGUCC